rnacentral:rRNA from 1 species
UGAUUGAUGGUGCUUGCACCUGAUUGACGAUGGAUCACCAGUGAGUGGCGGACGGGUGAGUAACACGUAGGUAACCUGCCCCGGAGCGGGGGAUAACAUUUGGAAACAGAUGCUAAUACCGCAUAACAACAAAAGCCACAUGGCUUUUGUUUGAAAGAUGGCUUUGGCUAUCACUCUGGGAUGGACCUGCGGUGCAUUAGCUAGUUGGUAAGGUAACGGCUUACCAAGGCGAUGAUGCAUAGCCGAGUUGAGAGACUGAUCGGCCACAAUGGAACUGAGACACGGUCCAUACUCCUACGGGAGGCAGCAGUAGGGAAUCUUCCACAAUGGGCGCAAGCCUGAUGGAGCAACACCGCGUGAGUGAAGAAGGGUUUCGGCUCGUAAAGCUCUGUUGUUGGAGAAGAACGUGCGUGAGAGUAACUGUUCACGCAGUGACGGUAUCCAACCAGAAAGUCACGGCUAACUACGUGCCAGCAGCCGCGGUAAUACGUAGGUGGCAAGCGUUAUCCGGAUUUAUUGGGCGUAAAGCGAGCGCAGGCGGUUGCUUAGGUCUGAUGUGAAAGCCUUCGGCUUAACCGAAGAAGUGCAUCGGAAACCGGGCGACUUGAGUGCAGAAGAGGACAGUGGAACUCCAUGGGUAAA